AACGAACGCUGGCGGCAGGCUUCAUACAUGCAAGUCGAGCGGAAAGGCCCCUUCGGGGGUACUCGAGCGGCGAACGGGUGAGUAACAGGUGGGUAAUCUGCCUUUCGGAGGGGGAUAACGGCUGGAAACGGCCGCUAAUACCCCGUACGGUUGUGAAGCUCUCGGGCUUUGCAAAGAAAGGGGCCUUUAAAGCCCCGCCGAAAGAUGAGCCCGCCCCCCAUUAGCUAGUUGGCGGGGUAAUGGCCCACCAAGGCUGUGAUGGGUAGCCGAGCUGAGAGGUUGAUCGGCCACACUGGAACUGAGACACGGUCCAGACACCUACGGGUGGCAGCAGUAGGGAAUAUUGCGCAAUGGGCGAAAGCCUGACGCAGCCAUGCCGCGUGGAUGAUGAAGGCCUUGGGUCGUAAAGCUCUUUUGUCCGGAAAGAAAAGACGCCGGGUUAAUACCCUGGUGUCCUGACGGUACCGGAAGAAUAAGCACCGGCUAACUACGUG
rnacentral:rRNA from 1 species